rnacentral:rRNA from 1 species
CCUACGGGAGGCUGCAGUGAGGAAUAUUGGUCAAUGGGCGCAAGCCUGAACCAGCCAAGUCGCGUGAGGGAAGACGGCCCUACGGGUUGUAAACCUCUUUUGCCGGGGAGCAAGCCUGAGCACGUGUGCCCAGGCGGAGAGUACCCGGAGAAAAAGCAUCGGCUAACUCCGGGCCAGCAGCCGCGGUAAUACGGAGGAUGCGAGCGUUAUCCGGAUUACUGGGUGUAAAGGGAGCGUAGACGGGGCAGUAAGUCUGAUGUGAAAGGUCGGGGCCCAACCCCGGGACUGCAUUGGAAACUGUGGGACUGGAGUACAGGAGAGGUAGGCGGAAUUCCUAGUGUAGCGGUGAAAUGCGUAGAUAUUAGGAGGAACACCAGUGGCGAAGGCGGCUUACUGGACUGUAACUGACGUUGAGGCUCGAAAGCGUGGGGAGCAAACAGGAUUAGAUACCCGAGUAGUC